GUGCUCACUUUGGCAGCACAUACACUAAAGUUGGAACGACAUGGAGAUUAGCAUGGCCCCUGCGCAAGGAUAACACACAAAUUUGUGAAGUGUAAAAAUUAAAU